rnacentral:rRNA from 1 species
GAUGAACGCUGGCGGCGUGCCUAAUACAUGCAAGUCGAGCGAACAGACGAGGAGCUUGCUCCUCUGACGUUAGCGGCGGACGGGUGAGUAACACGUGGAUAACCUACCUAUAAGACUGGGAUAACUUCGGGAAACCGGAGCUAAUACCGGAUAAUAUAUUGAACCGCAUGGUUCAAUAGUGAAAGACGGUUUUGCUGUCACUUAUAGAUGGAUCCGCGCCGCAUUAGCUAGUUGGUAAGGUAACGGCUUACCAAGGCAACGAUGCGUAGCCGACCUGAGGGGGUGAUCGGCCACACUGGAACUGAGACACGGUCCAGACUCCUACGGGAGGCAGCAGUAGGGAAUCUUCCGCAAAGGGCGAAAGCCUGACGGAGCAACGCCGCGUGAGUGAUGAAGGUCUUCGGAUCGUAAAACUCUGUUAUUAGGGAAGAACAAAUGUGUAAGUAACUAUGCACGUCUUGACGGUACCUAAUCAGAAAGCCGCGGCUAACUACGUG